CCUCUCGGGGGUAAGCGGGCAGAACUUGCAAGUAAUGGUGAGAAGAUUCAGACUUUGUACUGAUGGCUGAGAGUAUUUGUUAAGCUGUUUGUUCGCAAACUGGCUGGUUUGUACUCUUUGAUCUGUUGGUAAUGCGUCGCAUUUCUUCUCAUCUACGGGUUGUAUGCAACUGAGUUUUGGUAAUUUAGGUGCUGGGGUACUGCAAAUCCUUGUUGGUUUGAGCCUUGGUUUCCAAUUACUUAUGCGGUUGUUAUAAUUUGAUCGAACAUGCGUUUAACGCGGUCAUUUGCUUAUACGAACAGUGUAUGCAUUAUAUGUGGACGAGUAAUCGUAGCAUGUGAUGUAUACUGGUUGUCGGUGAGACAUCAUGGCAUUGUUCAUGUAUUACAAUCUAAAGCAUGCGUGGUCUGCCUGU
rnacentral:rRNA from 1 species